rnacentral:lncRNA from 1 species
CAGUGCAACAAUUUAGAAACAGAGUCAGCUCUUAUAUCUUGUAAAAAUAUUGGAAGUUUGAGCAAAGACUGUAUUCUUUUUACUUCAAUUAUAUUAUUUACAGUCAGCAAUUUAAAGUCUUUGUUUAAUCAUAAGUGGUCUUUUAAGGACAGAUUACAAUGUUCAUGAGAAUUAGGAGGGCAAGGUUGUUGGUUUCAGUCCUGUUUCUUAAAAAAUAAAAUAAAUUCCAACAACAACAACGGGUCUAAAAUUGUAAUAAUCAUAGCAAACAUUCUUAGGUAAUAACCAGCACAAACCUCUCACUGCCAAUGUGCCUACUUUUAAAUUCUGAGUAAUCAAGUGUUAAAUGCAACUUUGCAUUAAUACAAGGUGUUUUUGUGUGUCUCUGUGUAUCCACACAUUAUGUUAUAUUAUAUUUAUUAUGCAAAAGCUAGCAGUUAAUCAAGAUUCUAGCAAUAAUACUGUAGUCUGCUGUUACUGAAGUCUGUGUAUUAAGUUAUUUAGCCUGGUGUUUGUAAACUUUAAUAGUAUACAUAUAGCAUAAAUUGCAUAUAUGGAUGCACAUACACAAAAUGUAUAAUUUGCAUACUUAAAAUACUUAGUUUAGUUUAGUGAAAAGGAUUUGGUUUUAAUAUGAUUCUCCUUUUAUUUUGAAAGCAGAGUGUAGAGUUCAGCAGCAUAUUGAGUAUAAAGAGCUACAUUCUUGCUGAUUAAAACGGAAUGUUUUGUCUUUCUCUUUAGUGAACAACAUACUGGAGUACUAGAACAUGAGGGAAAAGGAAGCCCAUUUCUGAUAUAUGGAUCCUGACUGAACAUUAUAAAAUGUCAUUGGACUCUACCAGAAAGAUGAGAAAUUUCAAAUGUUUUUUGAACUGGAUCCUUUGCAAAAGAUAUAUUUCCCUUUCUUCCUUCUCUUUUACUCAAAGUCUUGUAGUCAAAAAUGUGUCAAACUCAAAAAUCAUGAUUACCAAUUCAUAAAAGAGCAAAUAUAGGUGUGGAUUCCCCAAGAUAAAAAAACACUAAUGGGAGGUGAAUAUUGGUGAGCGUUUAUAGGUGGCCUAGGACCUGCCCACCAACAUGAGAGUCACUGGGCAUGUGUACAACACGCAACUUAAUACAAAUGAAAAUAAGCUUUGAAAGCAUAUGCAGAGAACUGGCAGAACUGUACAGCUAACUAUAAGCAACCAUGACACAAGUAUCUUGUCAGAGCUCUGCUGAAAAUACAGCACAUAACGGCACAUCUACAGACUAAAUUUAGUAUCUAAUUAGUUUUCAAAUAGUAUUAUAGUUUGUGUGGCACACUUCCUUUAAAAAAUGUUGCUCUUAACAUUGUGUUAAAAUAAGCAGCAGUUUUUGUUUCUUCAAAAACCUCAAACUGCAUUAUUUUCUUCAGAGUUUAGCCACUUGCCAGAUAAAAAUGCUGUUCUUGACUAUCCCAUAGUUAAGUUAGAGAACAGUGACACAGUUUGUGGCCUUUGGUUGUGGGCUGCCCAGUUUGGUGCAACCUUAAGCAGAUGGAGAACAAUUUUGUCUUAGUCUAAGGAACCAUUUGUCUUUGUCCCAGUGCCAAACUUAGGAAGCAAUUUUUGAUCAUUUCAUGAUUUUGAUUAUCAUCAUGUCAUCCCCAUGGUACCAGCUGCACUGACAGUAGUUAUCCCACGGCUGACAACAUGUUCAGUGUGAACUGAGACAAAAUAAAAUGUGGAACUGGAAUUAGAUUUCUCUUUAA